rnacentral:lncRNA from 1 species
AAUUGCAGUUUUGUUUUUUAGUUAAACGAAUCAACAACAAGAAUAAUAGCCUCCCGUAACUCCGAAAGUAACCACUGCGAACGCUUCAGUCGAUUUCAUUUCCCCUACCAUGGCUUCACUCAGAGCGAAUAAA